UACGAAGGGGACUAGCGUUGUUCGGAAUUACUGGGCGUAAAGCGCACGUAGGCGGAUUUGUUAGUCAGGGGUGAAAUCCCGGGGCUCAACUCCGGAACUGCCUUUGAAACUGCAUCGCUUGAAUCCGGGAGAGGUGAGUGGAAUUCCGAGUGUAGAGGUGAAAUUCGUAGAUAUUCGGAAGAACACCAGUGGCGAAGGCGGCUCACUGGACCGGCAUUGACGCUGAGGUGCGAAAGCGUGGGGAGCAAACAGG
rnacentral:rRNA from 1 species